GACGAACCGUGCGAACGUUAUUCGGAAUCACUGGGCUUAAAGCGCGCGCAGGCGGCGGUGCUGGCCCGGCGUGAAAGCCCCCGGCUCAACCGGGGAGAGUCGUCGGGGACUGCACCGCUUGAGGGCGGUAGGGGCUGGUGGAAUGCCUGGUGUAGUGGUGAAAUGCGUAGAUAUUAGGAAGAACACCAGUGGCGAAGGCGGCUCACUGGCCCGGUACUGACGCUGAGGCGCGAAAGCGUGGGGAGCAAACAGG
rnacentral:rRNA from 1 species